rnacentral:rRNA from 1 species
GACGAACGCUGGCGGCGUGCUUAACACAUGCAAGUCGAACGAAGUGGCGCACGGGUGAGUAACGCGUAAUCAACCUGCCCUUCAGAGGGGGACAACAGGUGGAAACGACUGCUAAUACCGCAUACUGAAGGAGGGGCUUGCGUCUGUUUAGCUAGUUGGGGGGGUAACGGCCCACAAAGGCGAUGAUCAGUAGCCGGGCUGAGGGGAGGAACGGCCAAAUUGGGACUGGGACACGGCCCAGACUCCUACGGGAGGCAGCAGUGGGGAAUCGUCCGCAAUGGACGAAAGGCUGGCGAAGCAACGCCGCGUGAGUGAUGACGGCCUUCGGGUUGUAAAGCUCUGUUAAUCGGGACGCGGUACCGGAAUAGAAAGCCACGGCUAACUACGUGCCAGCAGCCGCGGUAAUUC